rnacentral:rRNA from 1 species
UAAGGAAUAUUGGUCAAUGGACGCAAGUCUGAACCAGCCAUGCCGCGUGAAGGAUGAAGGUCCUCUGGAUUGUAAACUUCUUUUAUCUGGGACGAAAACGGGAUUUUUAUCUCAAUUGACGGUACCAGAGGAAUAAGCACCGGCUAACUCCGUGCCAGCAGCCGCGGUAAUACGGAGGGUGCGAGCGUUAUCCGGAUUUACUGUGUUUAAAGGGUGCGUAGGUGGGCUUAUAAGUCAGUGGUGAAAUCUCCGAGCUUAACUUGGAAACUGCCGUUGAUACUAUAGGUCUUGAAUUAUCUGGAGGUAAGCGGAAUAUGUCAUGUAGCGGUGAAAUGCUUAGAUAUGACAUAGAACACCAAUUGCGAAGGCAGCUUACUACAUAUAAAUUGACGCUGAGGCACGAA